rnacentral:rRNA from 1 species
GACGAACGCUGGCGGCGUGCUUAACACAUGCAAGUCGAACGGAAAGGCCCUGCUUUUGUGGGGUGCUUGAGUGGCGAACGGGUGAGUAACACGUGAGUAACCUGCCCUUGACUUUGGGAUAACUUCAGGAAACUGGGGCUAAUACCGGAUAGGAGCUCCUGCUGCAUGGUGGGGGUUGGAAAGUUUCGGCGGUUGGGGAUGGACUCGCGGCUUAUCAGCUUGUUGGUGGGGUAGUGGCUUACCAAGGCUUUGACGGGUAGCCGGCCUGAGAGGGUGACCGGCCACAUCGGGACUGAGAUACGGCCCAGACUCCUACGGGAGGCAGCAGUGGGGAAUAUUGCACAAUGGGCGGAAGCCUGAUGCAGCAACGCCGCGUGCGGGAUGACGGCCUUCGGGUUGUAAACCGCUUUCGCCUGUGACGAAGCGUGAGUGACGGUAAUGGGUAAAGAAGCACCGGCUAACUACGUG